rnacentral:lncRNA from 1 species
GGCCUUCGUCAUCAAAGAUAAGUUGCUCGGGUCACAGGCUGCAACCUCUGUGGGCUCUGCUUCUUUAAACAGGUCAGUUAGGCUGUAAAGUGUCUGGGACAAGUUAACACUACACAUGGCUGGUAGAUGAAGGAGUGAAACUAAAAACUACCAUGGUCAUUUACUAUCCUACAGUCGAGAUUCCUUUGUUGUGUUUUGGUGUCGUUCUGUGGAUAUUUUGUUGCCAUUUUGCAAAAAAGCACAGAGGAGAGGACGCCUGGCUGUCCGGUCGCAGCGACACUCCGUCUGUAUACAUUAUCCCCAUAUAUGAAGAGGAGCAGGAAGACGAAGAGGAUGAGGAAGCACUGGGCAUAAAUGAAACAUAUUACAGACAGCCUCCUGCAUAUGUGUCAAGAAACAUUGAUCCACCUCCUCCAUACAUGCCACCAUCUGACCCACUACCUUCAUACUCAGACCUUCCAGCUUACCUAGAGUGACCAUGAUCACCUUCAUCUUCCUCUUCCUCAUGUGUGAACUGUGUUUUUAUUACAGGACAGAUUUAAGGGAUCAAAUACAGGGUACUGUAAAUAUUUCACAUUGUGGAUGUAAAUGCUUUUAUUUGACAUGUGAUGCAGUGCCAUUAAAAUGCAUCUAUA